AAAUAUUUACUUUAUACUAAUGUCACAAUAUCUAUUUCUCUCUCUGCUACUGGAGAUGUAUUAGAACAAUAUUAUGAAAUAUUGAAGGGUGAAUGGGAUAAAUGGAGUGUAAAUAGAACAAAAAACAUGGCUAUAUCUGAUAGAUUCUUGACAUAGACCCUACAUUGGAAGAUGACUUUUAGUUUCAAUGUAUGACCAGAAUGCAAGGUAAAAUAAAUUUGACUAAUUAUAAAAACAUAUAUUUCAAAACAUUCCAUCAUGAAUGCCAAUUGGUACAAGAACUGCAAUAAAUAAUAAUAAGUUGCGAGCCACUAGUCUCCAAUCAUUUGGUACUGCAUAAGAUAUAAAUUUGUUAUUAAUUCUAGACAUAUAAAAGAAAUUAAAUACUUACUUCGUGACUUGCACAUAUAAAGAUGAAUGAUGUAACUAAAAGAUUUAAUACUGGAAAUCUUGGUAAUAAAACUAAUACACCAUGCGAAUCUGCUGCCAACCAAAUGUGACCUUGUGCGACUAGAGUUUCUAAGCUGAUGCGACCUAAACCAGUCAAAAGAGCUGAAUGUUUACCACGUAAUGCUAAUGAAGCAUUUCUAAGUGCAAUGUAACCUAUAAUCUGUAAUUAAAAAAUUGAAAUUUAAUCGUUUGAAAAUAAAUUUGAAAAUAAAUUAUAAUUCAUAAAUUA